AUUUUAUUUUAUUGUUAGAUUAUUUUUAGUUUUAAUAAAAAUUGAUAAAGUAACUUAUAUGAAUAUUAUUUUAUAACUAUAGUUUAUAGUACUGAAAAGGAAUUAAUUAAAAAUUUUUUUAGUAAUUUUAAAAAUUUGUACCUUGUGUAUCAGAGAAAUCUAAAUUAAUUUAGUAAUUAUUAAAUAUCUCGAAAUAAAAAUAGUUAAUUUAAAAUACAAGUUUUUGUGUCAUAAAAAUUUAAAAUUUUAAGUUAAAGAUGAAAUAUUAGUCGAGUUUUAUUAUAUCUAGUUUUUUGACAAAUAAAUUAAAUUUAAUUAUCCAGAAAAAGAAAUUUGGGUAAAAUAUAACAGAAGGGAAAAGCUUUUUGUUAAAUUAUUUGUAAUAAUUAUUUAGAAUAAUUUGUAUUUUUUUUUUUACUAAUAAAAAUAUUUUAAAUAAAUUUAUCUAAUAUUUUACUUAUAAUCAAAAAAUAAAAUAUAACAAAAAAAUUUUAAAUAUAAUAGAUUUAUUAGUAUAAAAUAAGUGGAAAGUUAAUAUAAAUUUAAUAUGUAAAUAUUGUUUGUUUAAAAUAAAUUAUAAAGGAACUCAGCAAAAUUCUUGUUCGCCUGUUUAUCAAAAACAUGUCUUUUUGAUGAGAUAAAAAGUCUGGCCUGCUCACUGAUAAUAAAUUAAAGAGCUGCGGUAUAUUGACUGUACAAAGGUAGCAUAAUCAUUAGUUUUUUAAAUGAAAACUUGUAUGAAAGGUUUGACAAAACAAGUUCUGUCUCUAUUAUUUAAUUAAAAUUUAACUUUUAAGUGAAAAGGCUUAAAUAAAUCAAAGGGACGAUAAGACCCUAAAAGCUUUAUAUUUGUAUUUUAUUUUAAAAAAUUAAUUUAAUUAUAAAAUUAAAAUAACUUUAAUUAGUUGGGGCGACGUAUAAAUAAUUUUUAUAACUUUAUUUAUUUAAAACAUAAAUAUAUGAAAUUUGCUGAUCUUUAUUAAAAAUUUUAAGUAAAGUUACUUUAGGGAUAACAGCGUUAUUUUUUCUGAGAGUUCUUAUCGAAGAAAAAGAUUGCGACCUCGAUGUUGAAUUAAAAAUUCUGUUUGGUGCAGUAGCUAAAUAAGAAGGUCUGUUCGACCUUUAAAUUUUUACAUGAUCUGAGUUCAAACCGGCGUAAGCCAGGUCGGUUUCUAUCUUUUGUUUAUUAAAAAUUAAUUUAGUACGAAAGGAUUGAUUAAUUAAAAUUAUUUUUAUUAUUUA
rnacentral:rRNA from 1 species